AGAGACACAUUCAGCUCCUAAAUACAAUUUUCAAAAUACUGGACUAUACCUAUGCUUUUGAUGUAUCACGAGACCAUCGGUUUUAGAAUUACAGGCACGUUUUCUUUUAAAUAUCAUUUUUAUCUGUUUCGUCAGGAAUUCAGAACACAGGAGCUGGAGAACUAUUCUUCUUCACCAUGCGGUCCAGCUGCUACCUACUAUUCGGUCUACUGCUCGUGUCCCAUGGCUCCUCAGCAGUCAUCACAAGGCUGACAGACCGCCAAGAAGGAUCACGGCUGCAUUAUGUACUCUGAACGACUAUGGUGGAGAAGAUGACAUAGAUGCUAUUCUCCCAUUCUGUACAAACGUUUUUUCAAACACACCGAAAACUGGCACAUCAACUCCCCGGGAACCUCCACCCGCUUCCUCCAUAAUCCAGACCCAAACAAGCAAUGCACAAUUUAUGCGCAAGUGCAAUGCACAGAAUCACCCCAGACCGAAAAGUGUUACUAGGCAGGAAACUUACUGCUUCAAGAAACUGCGCUACAUGGACACGACUCCAACAAGACAUGCCCGGCAGAAUCUGGAAUGCUUGGUGAAAAAAUCUUGAGCACCUGGUUUCCAUGAUUCGUCAGAACAGUCCUCGUCAAAAAAGCUGAGACUCCUACCUGGCGUAUAAUGGCACAGAAGACCCUACACACCUAGACCACGCGGAUGCGCCGGACAUUCACAAUAAAACACCAAAACCGGAGGAUUUCACCGUUUUAAAUGACAUUUCCGAGGUAGACGACCUGCUAUUAUGUGAAGCGGCCAAGCUUCUUGAUUCAGCCAAUUCUUUGGUGGAAACACCUGAACCUAAAAUAGAACAAGCUAGGUUUUUCACAGCCUUUUCCAGGGCUCUAAAAUACCGAAAGGUUUUGCUCCACAAACGAAUAGUGGCUUUACUCGAUCGACAAUACAGUCUAUCCUUCUGGCAUAGAACAAUGCCACAUUUGUUAAAACCUCUGACUCCCCAUCCCGCAUGAGGGAGCAUAAUCAUCGCCUGACACUAAUUAGCAUAACGGAACAUUCGGAAUAUAACAGAAUAUUCCUAUUCAUGAA